rnacentral:rRNA from 1 species
GUCUUAUUGAUUAUAAUUUUAAGUCUAAUCUGCCCAGUGAUUAUAAAUUAAAUGGCUGCAGUAUUUUAACUGUACAAAGGUAGCAUAAUAAUUAGUCUCUUAAUUAGGGACUAGAAUGAAAGAUUGAACGAGAUGAUAACUGUCUCUUAUUAAAUUGUAAAAUUUUAUUUUUAAGUUAAAAAGCUUAAAUAAGAUUAAAAGACGAGAAGACCCUAUAGAGUUUUAUAUUUAUUAUUAAUAUAAAUUUUAGUAUCCAAAUUUUAUUUUUUUUAUAAAAUAUUUAAUUGGGGUGAUUAAAAAAUUGAAAAAACUUUUUUAAAAAUUUUUCAUUGAUUUAUGAAUAGAUGAUCCAAUAAUUUUGAUUAUAAGAUUAAAUUACCUUAGGGAUAACAGCGUAAUUUUUUUUGAGAGUUCUUAUCGAAAAAAAAGAUUGCGACCUCGAUGUUGGAUUAAAAUAAAUUUUUGGUGUAGAAGCUAAAAAAGUAGGUCUGUUCGACCUUUAAAAUUUUACAUGAUCUGAGUU